CUCCAAUCUUCCUGGUGUUCGAUGUACCCCCUAAUCUUACUCUGGAGGGAGCCUCUUUAAAUUUUUUGUCAACAAAGUAUUGCAAAUAUAGUUGGUGGAAGACUCUAACUGCUUUCCAUUUACAUGGUUGUCUUGUGGUUAACGAAAUCAAACUUUUUUUCAGAUGCUGUGAAAGUCAGCAGGGAAGUGCGAUGUAGAAGAAAUGACUGCCAGAAGCUUGCUAAGGAACCGCACAACCUGUGUGGGCAGCAGACAAAAUAUUCAUCAAACGAAGUUUUGCACCAAAGUUAUGAGAGCAGCACAGAUGUUUUUUUUAGCGUAAUGGAGUGAUGGAAGUGCUGCGCCAAUCAUGGAGUGCUUAGCAGUCGCCUGCUCGACCAGCCACAGUGAGUCAUUGGAGGCAGUGCUGCAGCACCAACAAUCACUCGUUGGAAGAAAGGAAUGAGGUGGCCAUCAACACCCUGCUGCCAGUUCAACACUCCUCAGUCAAAACACAAGACGCCUGCUUGGCGGCAAAGUCAAUCCAGUUUUAGACAAGAGUUUUGUACCGUAGACUUUGUGUGUGGUUUACUGCGAAUAAAUGUUUAUGCUGAGAUCCGUGUUGCUAUCAAUUAUAUCAUAUUUCUGCAUGAAUGCAUGCCAGGACGGUAGCAGGACUAGUCAUGGUCUAAAGUAGGUCUAAAGGUGGCUAAAGUAAG